UAUUUUCUUAACUCAAAUCAG
rnacentral:piRNA from 1 species